rnacentral:rRNA from 1 species
UCAGGACGAACGCUGGCGGCGUGCUUAACACAUGCAAGUCGAGCGGAAAGGCCCUUCGGGGUACUCGAGCGGCGAACGGGUGAGUAACACGUGAGUAACCUGCCCUUGGCUCUGGGAUAAGCCCGGGAAACUGGGUCUAAUACCGGAUACGACACACUCUCGCAUGAGACGUGUGUGGAAAGUUUUUCGGCUGGGGAUGGACUCGCGGUCUAUCAGCUUGUUGGUGGGGUGAUGGCCUACCAAGGCGACGACGGAUAGCCGGCCUGAGAGGGUGACCGGCCACACUGGGACUGAGACACGGCCCAGACUCCUACGGGAGGCAGCAGUGGGGAAUAUUGCGCAAUGGGCGGAAGCCUGACGCAGCGACGCCGCGUGGGGGAUGAAGGCCUUCGGGUUGUAAACCUCUUUCACCACCGACGAAGCUAACGUGACGGUAGGUGGGGAAGAAGCGCCGGCUAACUACGUGCCAGCAGCCGCGGUAAUACGUAGGGCGCAAGCGUUGUCCGGAAUUAUUGGGCGUAAAGAGCUCGUAGGCGGUCUGUCGCGUCUGCCGUGAAAACCCGAGGCUUAACCUCGUGGCUUGCGGUGGAUACGGGCAGACUAGAGGUAGGUAGGGGAGAAUGGAAUUCCCGGUGUAGCGGUGAAAUGCGCAGAUAUCGGGAGGAACACCGGUGGCGAAGGCGGUUCUCUGGGCCUUACCUGAC